AUAGGGCGGCGACCUGAAUCCCUCCUUGUUGGGUGUCCCAUCGGCGCCGAGCACAGCGAGCCCCAGCAGUAAAGUUGCCGCCGACCACCAUCUGGCUGUCUUCAUUGGUCUUCUCCUGUCAAAAACCAAACAAGAAUGGAAAAACACUGAGCUGUACUUUCUAAGACGUCUAGAGCCACCAGUGUGUGCUCAUCAUCCUCCAGCCAAGAGAGAUGACUGACAGCAGGAUGGUGACCCUGCGUUCCUGUUCUUCCGGAGUGACACUGAGUCGGACAUCAAUGGCACUGUAGUGGAACCUCAGUAGGCCCACGUGCUUUUCACUGGAGGUCGGGAGGUCGUGCCGGAAAAAGCAACGUGUCACUUUGAUGUGACGGACCGAAAGAGAACAUAAAGUUUCUUUUUGUGA